GAUGAACGUUGGCGGCGUGCCUAAUACAUGCAAGUCGAACGGAGAUUGUAGCAAUACGGUCUCAGUGGCGAACGGGUGAGUAACGCGUUGGUGACCUGCCCCGAAGUGUGGAAUAACAGAUCGAAAGGGCUGCUAAUACCGCAUAAUAUCCAGAGGACUAGAUGCCUUUGGAUUAAAGGAUUUAUUCGCUUCGGGAGGGGCCUGCGUCCCAUCAGCUAGUUGGUAAGGUAAAGGCUUACCAAGGCUAUGACGGGUAGGGGACCUGAGAGGGUGCCCCCGACAAAGUGGAACCUGAAACACGGUCCAUACACCUACGGGUGGCAGCAGUAGGGAAUAUUAGUAAUGGGCGAAAGCCUGAACUAGCAACGCCGCGUGUGCGAAGAAGGCCCUUGGGUUGUAAAGCACUUUUUGAGAGGAUGAGGAAGGACGGUAACUCUCAGAAUAAGUCUCGGCUAACUACGUGCCAGCAGCCGCGGUAAACCGUAGCGUG
rnacentral:rRNA from 1 species